AGUGAACGCUGGCGGUAGGCCUAACACAUGCAAGUCGAACGGCAGCACAGUAAGAGCUUGCGCUUACGGGUGGCGGGUGGCGGACGGGUGCGGAAUACAUCCGAAUCUACUUUUUCGCGGGGGAUAACGUAGGGUAACUUACGCUAAUAUCGCAUACGACCUACGGGUGAAAGCAGGGGAUCUUUGGACCUUGCGCGUUUGAAUGAGCCGAUGUCGGAUUAGCUAGUUGGCGGGGUAAAGGCCCACCAAGGCGACGAUCCGUAGCUGGUCUGAGAGGAUGAUCAGCCACACUGGAACUGAGACACGGUCCAGACUCCUACGGGAGGCAGCAGUGGGGAAUAUUGGACAAUGGGCGCAAGCCUGAUCCAGCCAUGCCGCGUGGGGGAAGAAGGCCUUCGGGUUGUAAAGCCCUUUUGUUGGGAAAGAAAAGCAGCAGGUUAAUACCCCGCGGUAAUGACGGUACCCGAAGAAUAAGCACCGGCUAACUUCGUG
rnacentral:rRNA from 1 species